AAGUCGUAACAAGGUUUCCGUCGUAGGUGAACCUGCGGAAGGAUCAUUAACACGUAUCCAAACGUUAAACCCCCCUGUGAACCUUCACCUGUACUCCGGGUCACUGGGCGCAAGCCCCCCUAAAACCGCUGCUAAUCGCGGCCGCGAUAAUACGCAGUCGACCAAAAACCGAACAACUGUAACAAUGGAUAUCUUGGUUCUC
rnacentral:misc_RNA from 1 species